rnacentral:lncRNA from 1 species
UGUCGCCAUACGGGGGGUGAGGGGGGAUUCUCCCCCCCCAAUAAAGAUUUAGUUGGAAAAUUUAUUAAGAAAAUUAUAAAUCCCGACUCCGACUGGAAAAGAAAUAAAAUUUAAAAAAAUAAAGUUAAAAAAUAAAGUUUGGGUUGAAUUUCUUUCAUUUCUUUAAAUUCGUUUUCUAUGUGGCAAUGCCGCGCCGCCGCGCCGCCGCAACCGGCAACGCGUCAAUUAAAUAACUUGCUACGCCUACGCGUGCCGCGUGCCCUGGUUGAGUGAUUCACAAUUUGUUACACGUUAGGGGAAUCGCCGAAAAUAUAUUUUGUACUCUGUUUGGUGUAAGCUGUAAGCCGGGUUCAGGUUUUAUUUGGUGUUAAGUGAAUAAGUGCGAGUGACCGAAUGGGUUAUAAAAACACAUUUUAAUUAUUAGUGUUAAUUUACUGCUACACUGGUAAAUUAUAUUAAAUAUUAUUAAUUACAAUUUGUUUGAAGCAGUUGCGUGGAGCUGCAAUUCAUUAUUCGAGUAUUAAUUAAUUUGACUGAGUAAAUGCAGUUUGGAAAUUUUGGACUUUUAUCUUUGGUAAGUAAAAAUUAAAUUGGCUUCGCUUUGUUGUUGAGUUUAAAAUUAUGUAAGAAUUAUCUAAAAUAUUAAUUUUAAAUUUUUAUUUUGAUGUGAUGUGAAAAUAUUGAUUUCACUAGCAACGGUUUUUAAUUUGUAGGCAUAAUUCUACUUGCAGUAAACCAUAAAUUAAAAGAAAAAUGAAACCUAAAAGAUACAAAGUGCAAUGCUGCGAAUGUAAAUCUGUGUUUAACAAUGAUUUUAAAAGUCAACAUGAAAAAGUUAAACAUGGUGGAAAAAGAGUAUCCAUACAAAAUAUUGGGGCGCCUGCAAACCCAUUUGAGGCUGCGUUAAAGAAACGGAAAUAUGAGGCAGAAACAGAAACUAUAAUUGAGGUAAGAUAAAACCGAAAUAUUUAUAGGUGUAUAUAGGCAUAAUAGAAAAAGUUUACUGCAAUAUCCAUAUAAUUUUUUAAAUAUUUUUUGGUAUAAUUUGGCCUAAUAAUAAUCCUUUUACUUAAGGCUACUUCUACUGCUUCUGACACCGAUUCCGUUCGAAUAAGCUCUAACGAUAGCCCCUACAAAAAGAUCGAUGGGAGUGAAAAUACUGAUGUUAGUGAAAAUAUGGACCUGAAUAUGCCAUUGAAUUGAUAAGUGGGCAACUCUAAAGAAAAGGCGAAUAAUUUUAAAAUAACAUUUUAGGGCUUAAAUAAAAUGGAAGAAUACGUAAUAUCGUCCUUUUUUGUAAAUAGUCUUUCAGGUAACAGGAUUAGGACAAAAAAUCUCCAGAGUUUUUCUUUUUUAUUUUUUUUUUAAACUGCCGACGUUUCGACUUUAUUUAAAAUUUGUAGUCUUUUUCUUUGUCCUAAUCCUGUUAAUCUAAACAACUACUUAUGUAAAUAUAAUACGUAUGAAAUAAGGUAAUGUUAUAAAAACGCUGUGUAUUUAUUUUAUGUUUUGAUUAUAGUAAAGUUAUUACUUACAUAAAAUAUGUUUAUUAUUAUAAUAACUAAUUAUUCUGAAUUUUGGAAAAAGGUGUACCUAUGUAAAUAAAAUAAAGUAUGAGAGUUGGGAAUAUUUUUCAUUCCCCCCCCCCCCAAAAAAAAA